AACAGUUGGGGCGAUGGAGUCCGCCCACAAGUGCCCGUCCGGGCUGAUGACUCCUACCUUCGG
rnacentral:ncRNA from 2 species